rnacentral:pre_miRNA from 1 species
ACUUGUUUUGCUGGUUGUCAUCUAACCAUCGUUCAGUCUGCCGUCUGUAAGCUUGGUGCAUGGAUGGAUGCCUGGGUCUGGGUGCAUGGCGAUUGCGCCGACAGACAGACGGUGGUGAUGGUUAGAUGACCAUCAGCAAACAUGUU